rfam:Populus trichocarpa scaffold_1006_contig_2, whole genome shotgun sequence.
AGGUGCGAUCAUACUAGCACUAAUGCACUGUAUCCCAUCAGAACUCCACAGUUAAACGUGCUUAGGUGAGAGGAGUACUAAGAUGGGUGACCUUCUGGGAAGUCCUUAUGUUGCACCCU